AGUCGAGCGGGGGAAGGUGCUUCGCUACCUGACCUAGCGGCGGACGGGUGAGUAAUGCUUAGGAAUCUGCCUAUUAGUGGGGGACAACAUUCCGAAAGGAAUGCUAAUACCGCAUACGCCCUACGGGGGAAAGCAGGGGAUCUUCGGACCUUGCGCUAAUAGAUGAGCCUAAGUCAGAUUAGCUAGUUGGUGGGGUAAAGGCCUACCAAGGCGACGAUCUGUAGCGGGUCUGAGAGGAUGAUCCGCCACACUGGGACUGAGACACGGCCCAGACUCCUACGGGAGGCAGCAGUGGGGAAUAUUGGACAAUGGGGGGAACCCUGAUCCAGCCAUGCCGCGUGUGUGAAGAAGGCCUUUUGGUUGUAAAGCACUUUAAGCGAGGAGGAGGCUACUGGUAUUAAUACUACCGGAUAGUGGACGUUACUCGCAGAAUAAGCACCGGCUAACUCUGUGCCAGCAGCCGCGGUAAUACAGAGGGUGCGAGCGUUAAUCGGAUUUACUGGGCGUAAAGCGUGCGUAGGCGGCUUUUUAAGUCGGAUGUGAAAUCCCUGAGCUUAACUUAGGAAUUGCAUUCGAUACUGGGAAGCUAGAGUAUGGGAGAGGAUGGUAGAAUUCCAGGUGUAGCGGUGAAAUGCGUAGAGAUCUGGAGGAAUACCGAUGGCGAAGGCAGCCAUCUGGCCUAAUACUGACGCUGAGGUACGAAAGCAUGGGGAGCAAACAGGAUUAGAUACCCUGGUAGUCCAUGCCGUAAACGAUGUCUACUAGCCGUUGGGGCCUUUGAGGCUUUAGUGGCGCAGCUAACGCGAUAAGUAGACCGCCUGGGGAGUACGGUCGCAAGACUAAAACUCAAAUGAAUUGACGGGGGCCCGCACAAGCGGUGGAGCAUGUGGUUUAAUUCGAUGCAACGCGAAGAACCUUA
rnacentral:rRNA from 1 species